ACGGAAUCGUUGCAGAGAGGAUUAGGAAUAUUGAGGAAAAUUUCUUAUCAGCAUCAAAAUUACGGCCAGUCGUCGGUAAUUUUCUUAUUUAAAUUUCGACUUUCACGAUGAGAUAGCUGUGGUGAAAGGCAUUUUAAAUAAUGUGGAAGCUCUCGCCCGAGAUGUGUAUGUCCAUCACAAAGAAACAGAAAUGUGAUUUUGGGACGGUGUGAGCCAAAGGUGUCUGUAAAAUAAGUGUGAGCUUUGGCAACUGAAGUGCCUUGUUUGCAGCUGCAGUGGGAGACAGAGCUGGGUAUUGAAGCACAAGCCUUGUGAUUUACAGUUGGUAAUCUGCCACUGCUGCACUAACACUCCAUAAAAAUGAACAUUAAAGAAGCAUAUCCAGUGAUUUCAAGAAACAAAGAAAUUUUGCAGAUCCUUUGGAUGAAAUUAGAUUCUGGGUUGGAUUCAUUUAACCCAAUAAACAGAAGGGCACAGUAAGCAUUUUGUUAAAGAAUCUUCAGUCACUGCCUACACACCAAGCUUAAAAAGUGAAUGCUUUAUGGCGACUCCAGCUGGCUUAUACGUGGUAAAAAACAAAUUAAAGACUGCAGAGACUUCUUCGUUGGCAUCAUGAGGUGUGAACAGAAGAUAAAUAUUCGAUGGAGAAAGAGGCAAUAAGCGCACAUGACAGCCUGCUUGGAGGGACGGGAGGUGCCUGUGAUCACAAGGACAGCUGACAGGAUUUUCAUCUUGAGCUCAGCAACUGUGCAGGCAGUAAAAUGUUUAGAUCGACAUUUGAAUGGUGAAAGCUCUGUCUGAAGAUGCAAGACUGCUACUCCUUCUGUAUUUUAAUAGGAAUCGGAGGAAACAUUUUUUGAGAGACACUUUUGAAAGCAGUUGUUUUGGAAUUUAAUUAAUGAGAAAAGCAGUCUGUACCUUACUUCCAUUUUUUGAGAUUUAGAUUGAUGUGCAGAACUGAGAGGAAGAUGAAAGGGUCAAGCAGGCCUGUCACUUUAUAAGAAACUCAUUAAAUAUGUGGAAAUAACAAGCAAGUAACUCAGUUAACCAUAGCUGAUGAGGAGUUUAAUAUCUGAACACCAAAGUACAUUAAUCAAGCUUCAUCUGGAAUAAUAAUGUGGGGGAAAAUAAACAUGUCAGUGACUAAAUAGCAAGGAAGCAAUUAAUCUGGUGAAAUAUAAUAUGCAUAAAGUCUGUCCUCUUGGCUCACACUAUCGUCUUGAGAUUAGACCCUGCUGUCAGGGAAAGUGCUACAACAACACACAUAAGCAACAGCAGCUUUGUCUUCCUAUCUUUUGAUCUGAAGCACCCUCUGCAUGUUAUGUCUGUUGCUAUCUCUGAUGCUUUUUGAAUGGCUGGUUCUCCUUAUUUAUCCGCCAUGUAUUGUGGCCAGCUCCUUCAGUCUGUCCUGUCAUCUAUCCCUUUGUCUGUCUGCAAUGCUAUGCAGCCAGCUACAUUUAAGAAUAUAAGAAGUCUCACAAAUAAAUGCAUACGGUUUACCAAGCUUAUCUGGUAAGCUAAUCGACAAGUUGCCUUUUAAAUUUUAGGAUGCUUGCUAACUCUAAAUUUGCUUUUCUGUGCUUCUGUUCAUUUUUGU